rnacentral:rRNA from 1 species
AAACCAGCACCUCAAGUGGUCAGGAUGAUUAUUGGGCCUAAAGCAUCCGUAGCCUGUUCUAUAAGUUUCCGGUUAAAUCCAUUAGCUCAACUAAUGGGCUGCCGAAAAUACUGUAGAACUAGGGAGUGGGAGAGGUAGACGGUAUUCGGUAGGAAGGGGUAAAAUCCUUUGAUCUAUUGAGGACCACCUGUGGCGAAGGCGGUCUACCAGAACACGUUCGACGGUGAGGGAUGAAAGCUGGGGGAGCAAACCGGAUUAGAAACCCCAGUAGUCC